CCGAUCGCACGCCCGAUCCAACCUCCUCCGCCGCCAUCUGGUUCCCCUCCGCUCCCAUCUGCUGCCUCUACCGAGAUCCGAGGCCUUCGACUUGUGGGCUGCCACCGCCGCCGCUGAACCCGGGGCAAGGCAGGGCGUGGCCGCAUUGUGGGCAACGAGGAGCGGCGCACGGGCGUGCCCUGCAUCGAGGAGGAGCUCAGGUACUUUCAAAUCGAGGAGGAACACCGCUGUCUAGCUACAUGGUGGCCGCUCCCCUCGACCCCCUCCAUCGCCUCCGCCGCCGCCGCCGAGGUACGGGAUCGCUGCCGAGCCGAGGUACGAGAUCGCCUCCAUCGCGUUCCUUCCCUGGCCACGCCCCUCCCAAUUUCUUCCCCUCACCCAGCUAGGGUUCUCACCCGCCGCCGCUCCCCUGCUGCUACCCGGCACCCGAUGCCCUCCACGGACACCACCACCAUGAUGUCGGAAGGAAGAGCAAGAGGGGUCGUCGAGGCUGGGUGCCGCCGUGAGGAUGCUGGCGCCCGUGCGCGGUGAUGGCAUUGUGGCGGAAGAAGGUCUUCUUCCUGGGGAGCCGCGCGCUGGCCGCCGUCUCCACCUGCGGCCACGCCAACCAGACAGAUACGCCGCCGCGCCAUCGACAUAUUCCCUACUCCCGUGCACGUAUGGUCAAGCAUGUAGCGCUUAUCUUGCCCCAUGCGGCCUUGGCAGAUCUCAAUGCUUGCUUGCUAAUGUGCGUGUGUGGAUGUUGCUGGUUGCUGCUGCUGUGCACGUGUGCUUGGUGUGCCCCUGCUGUUUUGUGUUCUCACCACCACAUCCACGACAAAUAAAAUUUCUCCCCGCCUCUCUCCCAACUCACGAGCAGUCUUAUCGAGGCAACGCGACACCGACCAGCCGGCCACAGACGGUGGCAGUGUUCAUCCCUGAAUGUCAAGUUGGCGCAGGUGUACAGCGGAGGUAUAUAUGUGAUAAGGUGAUGUGAUCAUUAGAAAAACCAGAGAAGGGAGAGAUGUGUGGGAGCUCGAGGGCGAGAGGAAGACGGAGACGGCACGGGGCAGCGUCCUGCAGGUGGGGAGAGCUGGAGGCAUGCUGGCCCAGGCAUGGUCAACACGAGGCGAUCGAGCUGCUCUGCUCGUUACUGAAGAACAGAGGCAGCAGCAGGUUCGUGGCGAUGUAACGGCGACACAAGAGGUUCUGGAGACAGGGCGGCCGGUACCGGCUGGAACGGGGUGGAUCCAGUCGGCCGGCGUCGGUUCCGGGCAACGGCGGCGGUGGACAGAGCUCGGGCGCGUAGCUCAGCCAUCCAUGGCGUACUGCCGAUGGUGCACAGAGAGAGAUGUUAGAGAGAGGGGAAAACUCAGGCUUCAAUCCAAUCUAUCCCUGUACGGUCGAAGGGGGUUGUUUGAGCCCAACGUUAGUGUUAAAAAUCACCUCAUCUCCACUGGCGAACCCAGCCGCAACGCAUCCUUCACAUCACUGAUGGUGUAUCAUUCUCCAGUGUCUCAACAUAGUCUGCCUUUUAGUUAUCCAACGUCGAUGUUAUAUCAUUCAAACUCAAAGUUCAGCUUGCAAGCUCUUAUGUUAUUAUCUAACCAGUGUUUUGUUUCAAAUGCUUUGUCUUAA
rnacentral:rRNA from 1 species